GACGAACGCUGGCGGCGUGCUUAACACAUGCAAGUCGAACGGAAAGGCCCUGCUUUUGUGGGGUUCUCGAGUGGCGAACGGGUGAGUAACACGUGAGUAACCUGCCCUUGACUUUGGGAUAACUUCAGGAAACUGGGGCUAAUACCGUAUAGGAGCUCCUGCUGCAUGGUGGGGGUUGGAACGUUUCGGCGGUUGGGGAUGGACUCGCGGCUUAUCAGCUUGUUGGUGGGGUAGUGGCUUACCCAGGCUUUGACGGGUAGCCGGCCUGAGAGGGUGACCGGCCACAUUGGGACUGAGGUACGGCGCAGACGCCUACGGGAGGCAGCAGUGGGGAAUAUUGCACAAUGGGCGGAAGCCUGAUGCAGAAACGCCGCGUGCGGGAUGACGGCCUUCGGGUUGUAAACCGCUUUCGCCUGUGACGAAGCGGGAGUGACGGUAAUGGGUAAAGAAGCACCGGCUAACUACGUG
rnacentral:rRNA from 1 species